GCCCGUCUGUUACCAGGUAGGGGGUCCCGCGGGAUUCCCUCCGGAUCCUCGGUGUCCUGAACACAGAAGUGAACGAGACAAGACACACGGAAAAGGCGGCGCAAGCGUACAUUUAGUGAAGGCCGAAAAGAUCACGCUCUGCGGAGUAAGCCGGCGCGUGAGAAGGCGCACAGCGCCCAGGCAAGCGGACAGGGGUUCUUUUGUAUCCACAGUUCCGGAGUUGGCUUCUGCCAGUGCAAAGAAGGCACCAGGACAGUUGUCAAAAACCCACUUGGCCCGGAACCAGGUGUAGACUGCGCUAGGCAAAAACUCACGAGACUUCCUGCCAGACAGCAACAGGACUGAAAAACAGCACUUUUCUGAUUGGUCCUACGAACCGCACCUAGUUCCCAGGAAGGACUGAAAAUACCGCCUUCUGAUUGGGUCUAUGGAUAGCGCUCGGGAGCCCUGGGGUCCUCCUGGGCCCUGUGUCCUGUGCAUGUCGCUGGAUUUUAUGACCCUCGACUCCUCCUCCUCCCGUAGUGGCCGCUUCGCCCAGCCCUGAUCUUCCGUUGCGCACCUCACAGAGAACUCCGUUCGGCGCGCUUGCCAUUGGAGCAGGACAUGAGGAGAGCAUGAAGCAGAAGCAGAGGAAGAGCCUAGGGAGCCCCAGGAAGGGAUUUCCUUGCGAAUGGGGUUCAGGGCACGAGGGCGAGGGGUGGGGGUUGAGUGGCUAGAGAGGCGCUUCGUCCUGGGGACAGCAGAAGGAACCGCAGAGCCUGUCCCUCCUCGUACACCGAGCCCAGCGAUCCCUACGGGGCUCAGCGAGAUCAUGAAGGUGGAACGAAUUAGAAAAGCGCCCUGCUCUAAGGAAUUCUCACUGAUCAGGGGAUGAAAGGGAGAUGCCCUUCCACCACGGCGAAAGCCUGCCCGAGCUCCCCAUCCUCCAGCCUCGGCUUCUCCUUGGAUCCUGCAUGGCCUGAAUGGCAGAACAGAGCCCAAGGAACUCUGCUUGUUUCCUGAGAAAUGCCACCGCUGGAAUGUUCCCAGGGGCCGGCAGGGGAACUCUGGAGUGACUCAGGCAGGCGAGGAAUCGAACCAGGAAAGAAGCAGCUCCGGAGUCCUCUUUCCUGAGCGUCUUUUGUUGCUAUGUCGUGGCUGCCUCAAUAUCCUGAAUCAGUUCAAAACAUUUGCCUUCAUGGUCACUUUGACUCUGGGGAAGAAACAGAAGUCGCACGGUGCCGGAUCCUGAGAAUAAGGUGGAUGAGGACACCGUGUAAGGUUUUUCCGAGCCUGUCUUUCCGUGGAAUGGCACUGGGAAGCAGCCUGCAGCAUAUUUUUGCUCACACCUUGUGAAGACGAAAAAGAGGACUUCCAGAUCCACUUCAGAAAGUGCUAAGAAUGAAGUGAUAAGUGUGUUCGAGGCAAGGAGGAGCAUUUUGAGGGGGAUUCACGACGGUGUGUACUUUAUGUAAUAAAUUGUAUAAAAUUUAAA